UACGUAGGGUGCAAGCGUUGUCCGGAAUUAUUGGGCGUAAAGAGCUCGUAGGCGGUUUGUCGCGUCUGCUGUGAAAACGCGAGGCUCAACCUCGCGCCUGCAGUGGGUACGGGCAGACUAGAGUGCGGUAGGGGAGAUUGGAAUUCCUGGUGUAGCGGUGGAAUGCGCAGAUAUCAGGAAGAACACCAAUGGCGAAGGCAGCUCUCUGGGACGGUACUGACACUGAGACGCGAAAGCGUGGGGAGCAAACAGG
rnacentral:rRNA from 1 species